rnacentral:rRNA from 1 species
UACGUAGGGGCAAGCGUUGUCCGGAAUUAUUGGCGUAAAGCGCGCGCAGGCGGUUCGUUAAGUCUGAUGGUAAAGCCCGGGCUCAACCCGGUAUUCAUUGAACUGGCGGACUGGAGUGCAGGAGAGGGAAGCGGAAUUCACGUGUAGCGGUGAAAUGCGUAGAGAUGUGGAGGAACACCAGUGGCGAAGGCGGCUCCUGGCCUGUACUGACGCUGAGGAGCGAAAGCGUGGGGAGCGAACAGG